rnacentral:rRNA from 1 species
UACGUAGGGGGCAAGCGUUGUCCGGAUUUAUUGGGCGUAAAGCGCGUGUAGGCGGCCACGCAGGUCCGCUGUGAAAACUCGAGGCUCAACCUCGAGCUGUCGGUGGAAACCGCGUGGCUAGAGUCCGGAAGAGGAGAGUGGAAUUCCCGGUGUAGCGGUGAAAUGCGCAGAUAUCGGGAAGAACACCUAUGGCGAAGGCAGCUCUCUGGGACGGUACUGACGCUGAGACGCGAAAGCGUGGGGAGCGAACAGG